UACGGGGGGAGCAAGCGUUGUUCGGAUUUACUGGGCGUAAAGGGCGCGUAGGCGGCGUGACAAGUCACUUGUGAAAUCUCCGGGCUUAACUCGGAACGGUCAAGUGAUACUGUCGUGCUAGAGUACAGAAGGGGCAACUGGAAUUCUCGGUGUAGCGGUGAAAUGCGUAGAUAUCAAGAGGAACACCGGAGGCGAAGGCGGCCCACUGGGUCUUUUCUGACGCUGAGGGACGAAAGCUAGGGGAGCGAACGGG
rnacentral:rRNA from 1 species